rnacentral:misc_RNA from 1 species
GAGCCUGAAAGGGUGAGGACAAACCGGGCGAGCAACCUCUCAGUAUCAGAUCUUGCAGACUUCCACUGCGUGUCCCUCUGUACAGCUUUGCAGGCUCCGGCCUCGGCAGCGGGGGGUUCAUAGUGGUCGUCGACCUCCACGAAACUGCACGCUCCGGCGUGACAGCGUACUGGGGAUGCCUGUGUAGAUGCAGUCCGGGCUUGCCUGGACCGCUAGCAGAUGGGCUCUGUGGAUGACUGGCCGCUGGCUAGACCUGAAACCUGAGCAACGGGAGGUAACCUCUCGCCGCGGACACCGGAAUGGUAGAAGCGGCGUGCUGCGUCCUCCUCUUGGGGCCCCUAAGCCACACCUCCCAUAGCGGGUUCGGUGCGGCGGACGGACGCCCUGGGGAAUUUAGAGGGGGAAAGCGGAUUGCCCUAGCGGUGUUGUUGGCCCUGCCGACCUCACUGCGAAAGGCGCGAC